UACGUAGGGUGCGAGCGUUGUCCGGAAUUAUUGGGCGUAAAGGGCUCGUAGGCGGUUUGUCGCGUCGGGGAGUGAAAACUCAGGGCUUAACCCUGAGCCUGCUUCCGAUACGGGCAGACUAGAGGUAUGCAGGGGGAGAACGGAAUUCCUGGUGUAGCGGUGAAAUGCGCAGAUAUCAGGAGGAACACCGGUGGCGAAGGCGGGUCUCGUGGGCCGAUGACUGACGCUGAGGAGCGAAAGCGUGGGGAGCGAACAGG
rnacentral:rRNA from 1 species